GUGAACUGCGGAAGGACAUU
rnacentral:rRNA from 2 species